ensembl:lncRNA
GGGAAGCCCCUUGUUAUUUCUUUUAAUAGAAGACAUCAUCUAUUGGCACACAUAAAUGAUGAGUCUGGAGGUAGCUCCUACCUCCAGGCAUGAACUGUUUCAAACAAUACAGUCAACAUGGUUUCUCUCCAGCUCCUCCAAGGUCAUGAGCUACAAGGUGCCAUGACCCCAGCCAGCAGUGCCAAGAGAAAGGUAAGCUGCCACUCUUGCUUAGCAACUGUCUUUGGCCUGAAAUAGGUCAUGGAGUCAGGCCUGACCACUCACUAGGAUGAGAAGGAUGAGAUGUCAGACCUUGUCCCAGCCUGUCCUUACAGUGAAGAACAAAGCUGAGCCAACCUGAGGGCUGGGCAAAAGUGUGGUAAAGGUUCUGCCAAUGAGAAGUGCUGGUGGGAGACUGGAAGAUGGUAAAGAAGGCAGCCCCUCUCAUCUUCGGCUCCUGUGGCUCUCCUCAAGGGCUCCCUACAGACUCUCUUAGAGAUCUCAGCACCAGACAUGCAAGUCUCUCAAUCCAGCACCAGCCUGUGGUGGCCCAUCCAUUUCGUCUGAAACACCUCCUGCAUUUCAAACAAAAGUUUCUAUUUCCUAGAUCUUAGCUGAUAGGAUACGUGCUACCAAGAUCAGGAGUUAUUUUCGACCUCCUGGAACAUAUUCAACUUUCUAAUGCAUCUGAGGUACCUGCCCUUCCUGUUCCUCGGUCUAUGCAGGAAGAUGUCAUGAACGUAAUGAUCAGGGUGAUGUUCUGGGGAACGUCAGGAAGAUUCAGCUCUCUGCUGGCACAGUGACGGCAGUGGGAAGGAGAGGUGACAUAAGCCUGAGGCUAGACAACUGAAGAUCUAUUGCUGCCACACCUCCUUCCUGCCUGGGUCCUGAUGAUACAGCAGCCCUUUUUAGGAUAUGCAUUUGAGGAUGAACUAUGCUGAGGCUGCCAAAAAAACAGGAUAUUUUGGGGGAAAAUCUUAAAAUCUCUAGAUUCAGAGAAAGGAAUGAUUUUUCUUUUUUCCUAUUUUUUUGGUAGCACCACGUGACAGAAAAUUGUUUUAAAAUAAACCUGGAUAGACAAACUGUGGCAUAUUCAUCCAAUAUGUAUUGAAUGACAUAGUAGUUUAUGAAGCAAAGAAAAAUAGUGAACUCUAGCUGCAGAGAACCAGAGAUGAACUCCUAGGACAUAACACUGAGCAAAAGAAACCAGACACAAAAGAAUUCACUGUAUGAAGCAAUUUUUACAACAUUCAAGAACAAGGAAAACUAUUCCAAGGUGAUAGCAGUCAGAAUAAUGGUUAGCUUUUGAAGAGAGAUUAAUACGGGUGGAGACACAUAGAAGCGUUCUGAGCUGCUGGAAAUUUCUACGUCUUAAUUAGGAUGGUUGUUACAUGGAUGUGUACUGAGAAUUUACAUCCAGUAAGAAUUUGCUGAGCUGUACACUUAUGAGUUGCACAUUCUACAUGUGUAUCUCUCAAUAAAAAAGCAAUACAAAACUCUCAGUACAGAUAAGACAUUAAAAGUAUUUAUAAAAUAAACAGAUGUGUAACUUGAGCUACUGCAUGGUAAACAGAAGGGGAAAAGGUGGAAGUAGUGACAGAUUUCCUCUUCUUGGGCUCCAAAAUCACAGCUGACAGUGACUGCAGCUAUGAAACCAGAAGACGAUUGCUUCUUGGCAGGAAAGCAAUGACAAACCUAGACAGGGUGUUGAAAAGCAGAGAUAUUACUCUGCCAACAAAGGUCUGUAUAGUCAAGGCUAUGGUCUUCCCAGUGGUCACAUACAGUUGUGAGAGCUGGACCAUAAAAAAGGCAGAGUGCCGAAGAAUUGAUGCCUUUGAACUGUGGUGCUGGAGAAGACUUCUGAAAAUCCCUCGGAUGGCAAGGAGAUCAAACCAGUCGAUCUUAAGGGAGAUCAACCCUGAAUACUCACUGGAAGGACUGAUGCUGAAGCUCCAGUAUUUUGGUCAUCUGAUGUGAACAGAUGACUCAUUGGAAAAGUCCCUAAUGCUGGGAAAGAUUGAGGGCAGGAAGAAAAGAGGGCGUCAGAGGAGGGAUGGCUCCACCACAUCACCAAUGCAAUGAACGUGAACUUGGGCAAACUCUGGGAGAUGGUGAGGGACAGGGAGGCCUGGCAUGCUGCAGUCCAACGGGUCACAGGGGACUGAACAACAAGAACAACUUGAGCUUUCCAACCUAGUUUCAUUUAUUUCAUCAAUAAUAUUAGUAGAAGUUUAGGAAGUCUUUGAUGAACUGUAUCAAAGUGAAAGUGAAAGAAAGUGAAGUCGCUCAGUCAUGUCCAACUCUUUCAGACUCCAUGGACUAUAGCCUACCAGGCUCCUCUCUCCAUGGGAUUCUUCGGGCAGGAACACUGGAGUGGGUUGCCAUUUCCUUCUCCAGGGUAUCUUCCCAACCCAGGGAUCAAACCCAGGUCUCCUGCAUUGCAGGCAGAUGCUUUAACCUCUGAGCCACCAGGGAAGCCCUGUACCAAAGUGACACAUUAAAGUUUAAAAGCUUA